rnacentral:rRNA from 2 species
GAACGUUACCAAACUGUUGCCUCGGCGGGAUCUCUGCCCCGGGUGCGUCGCAGCCCCGGACCAAGGCGCCCGCCGGAGGACCAACCAAAACUCUUAUUGUAUACCCCCUCGCGGGUUUUUUUAUAAUCUGAGCCUUCUCGGCGCCUCUCGUAGGCGUUUCGAAAAUGAAUCAAAACUUUCAACAACGGAUCUCUUGGUUCUGGCAUCGAUGAAGAACGCAGCGAAAUGCGAUAAGUAAUGUGAAUUGCAGAAUUCAGUGAAUCAUCGAAUCUUUGAACGCACAUUGCGCCCGCCAGUAUUCUGGCGGGCAUGCCUGUCCGAGCGUCAUUUCAACCCUCGAACCCCUCCGGGGGGUCGGCGUUGGGGAUCGGCCCUGCCUUUUGGCGGUGGCCGUCUCCGAAAUACAGUGGCGGUCUCGCCGCAGCCUCUCCUGCGCAGUAGUUUGCACACUCGCAUCGGGAGCGCGGCGCGUCCACAGCCGUUAAACACCCAACUUCUGAAAUGUUGACCUCGGAUCAGGUAGGAAUACCCGCUGAACUUAA